rnacentral:other from 1 species
GUGCCCCUGCCCUGUGCGUGUUGCGACGGGAAAGUCAUUUUGAGCCAACACUCAAAUGAAGGGGCCGAAUGCCACUGAACGCCAGGGGAGGCACCCUUUAGUGGACGCCCGAACUGAGUUCACGCCCGGCCCACCUGUUUUGGCAGGUUCAAAACGUGACCGUCCCACGGCAGCGGCGGGGGAACC